AGUAGGAUGACUGAGAAAUAGGUGAUAAAUUGUAAAUUUAUUAAGGAGUCAAUUUUUGACUCUUCUACUA
rnacentral:tRNA from 1 species